GGAUGAACGCUGGCGGCGUGCCUAACACAUGCAAGUCGAACGAAGCAAUUAAAAUGAAGUUUUCGGAUGGAUUUUUGAUUGACUGAGUGGCGGACGGGUGAGUAACGCGUGGAUAACCUGCCUCACACUGGGGGAUAACAGUUAGAAAUGACUGCUAAUACCGCAUAAGCGCACAGUACCGCAUGGUACGGUGUGAAAAACUCCGGUGGUGUGAGAUGGAUCCGCGUCUGAUUAGCCAGUUGGCGGGGUAACGGCCCACCAAAGCGACGAUCAGUAGCCGACCUGAGAGGGUGACCGGCCACAUUGGGACUGAGACACGGCCCAAACUCCUACGGGAGGCAGCAGUGGGGAAUAUUGCACAAUGGGCGAAAGCCUGAUGCAGCGACGCCGCGUGAGUGGAGAAGUAUUUCGGUAUGUAAAGCUCUAUCAGCAGGGAAGAAAAUGGCGGUACCUGACUAAGAAGCCCCGGCUAACUACGUGCCAGCAGCCGCGGUAAUACGUAGGGGGCAAGCGUUAUCCGGGUUUACUGGGUGUAAAGGGAGCGUAGACGGCGAAGCAAGUCUGAAGUGAAAACCCAGGGCUCAACCCUGGGACUGCUUUGGAAACUGUUUUGCUAGAGUGUCGGAGAGGUAAGUGGAAUUCCUAGUGUAGCGGUGAAAUGCGUAGAUAUUAGGAGGACACCAGUGGCGAAGGCGGCUUACUGGACGAUAACUGACGU
rnacentral:rRNA from 1 species